UAUUCCCCAACCGCAACGCGUCUCAUUCCUUCUCAUCAAUCGGAAGUCUCCUCGCCCGGAGAAAGAAAGCAUCAAAGUCUACCCCUCUCUCUCUCUCUCUCGUCUCUCUCCGUCUCUCUCCCCCAUGGAUCUAUUCAAACCCUAUUUACACCAUGAAUCUUUCGAGAGGGUUUCGCCAGAGGCCAAACCCGAUCAAGAAAGAGCUCAUCAACAGGUUUCGGUCGGUGGUCAAUGAUGAUGGAUCAUCAGCAAUAGCGUGGUCGAUUUUGUUAAGUCAAAAUGCCGCUGCCGGAAGGAGUUCCCCAUUUCCCACCGAUGUAGAGAUGCAGCUACUUUUGACGGAACAUUUUAUCCCUUGUUGUGUUUGGAGUUGGAAAGUAAGUCUCAGAAAACCGUACAAGCUUCUCUUCUUUUUUUAUCCGCAAGAUGAGCAACACAUAUAUCAUCAAAAUGUGAGAGGACUAUCAGAUACAAACUCCUCUCUUCCCAAGUGCUUUAUCAUAUGGGCCAUACCUUACCGGGUAGCCACGAGGCUAACGUCACCUAUUGUAUCUAUAUUUUAUCCCAAAAGAAAAAGAAAAUAUUGAUUCUCGUGAA